UUCGGUGCCUAAACCCAACCAAGCUGCAACCGCUUCAUAUCAUCAACAAAGCCUCUGGCGCUUACAGGCAGGGUAGCAAAGUUGCUUCUGAAACACUUUUUGUCAUAUUUGCUGAAACUGUCUUUAAACACCAAUGCAUAUUAAAAAGUUAGGUGCUCUGAAAAAGACAGUAUAAAAAUCGGCUGUCUGUAGUCCUUUCAGGGCUGCAGUAAACACAGACACUCGUUUCAUUCGGACCGAAUGCAAUGAUUGGCUGGCUGGCUGUCACUCUCCCUCGCUGCCAUGGCUACCAGCCGCGCUGCUACAGGAGCUGCCCCCGUGCGCGCACCCGCUCAGCUCGCUCAGACCCGACGAGCGAAGCGGUCAGACCAUAGGUAAUAUCUGCGUGGCUUUUCAACGAUAAUGACUCACAACUGAGGAACACCAAGGGGCUGAAAAGUUGCACCGUGGUGGCUUUAUUUCUGCUGGACAGUAUACGCUGAUCGGACCAUGCUGGCUGACCUGGAUCACAACCACCAUGUCCACAGUCCAGCCAGGAGAAAAAAGCUUAUGACACAAUUCAGUACAGCAAGGUGUACAACAAAAAGUCCAUGAAGUGGACUGAAGGUGG